GAUGAACGCUAGCUACAGGCUUAACACAUGCAAGUCGAGGGGUAACGAGAGGAAAGCUUGCUUUCCUUGUCGACGACCGGCGCACGGGUGAGUAACGCGUAUCCAACCUGCCCCCAACUAAGGGAUAACCUUGCGAAAGUAAGACUAAUACCUUAUAAUUUCCUCAGAUGUCAUCUGACGAGGAAUAAAGAUUUAUCGGUUGGGGAUGGGGAUGCGUCUGAUUAGCUUGUUGGCGGGGUAACGGCCCACCAAGGCAACGAUCAGUAGGGGUUCUGAGAGGAAGGGCCCCCACAUUGGCACUGAGACACGGUCCAAACUCCUACGGGAGGCAGCAGUGAGGAAUUUUGGUCAAUGGGCGAAAGCCUGAACCAGCCAAGUAGCGUGCAGGAUGACGGCCCUAUGGGUUGUAAACUGCUUUUAUACAGGAAUAAAGUUAGCCACGUGUGGUUAUUUGUAGGUACUGUAUGAAUAAGGACCGGCUAAUUCCGUGCCAGCCGCCGCGGUAA
rnacentral:rRNA from 1 species